rnacentral:lncRNA from 12 species
GCGCUCCAGGCUCCCGAAGGGAAAGCGGGCGCGGGGCUCCCCGGGGCUGAGCGCGCUCCUCGGGGCGGGGGGGGCGGCUCCCCAGGGGCUGAGCGCGCUCCUCGGGGCAGGGGGGGCUCCCCCGGGGCUGAGCGCGCUCCUCGGGGCGGGGGGCUCCCCCGGGGCUGAGCGCGCUCCUCGGGGCGGGAGGGCUCCCCAGGGGGCCGACGGGUCCUCCGCGUCCCGGGCGCUCGGCGGCGGCCCCCUCCACACCCCGCGGGCCCCCGGACCCCGCCGGGCUGCUGCACCCCCUCCCCUUCGGGGGCGCCUCUGGCGCGGAGCGGGGAACCGGAGGCCCGCAGAAGUGGAAGCCCCGGAGAGACUUUAAGCAGCGGGACCCCGGGACUCCUCCGCAAGAGAGACACAAAGCUUCGGGGCUGGAGGAGCUGAGCUGAGGAUCAGCACGUUGGAGGGGACCGGGAACUCCGCACACAAAGGACGCUCCACUUGGCUGGCAGCCACGGUGUCACGAGUGGAGAAGGGGCAGGAUGGGGGGUGAUGAAAGAGGUGAGGGGUGAGGAGAGUAAGCGCUAAAGUGUGUUGGAGAGGCAGGUGGACAGGGGUGUUUGAAGCUUCUUACUCGGGAACUGCGCGAAGCGAAGCCACUGCCCAACUUACUUCCCCAGGAACAGUGUCACCUCCAGAAUGCUUCCAUCCCUCCGGGACAUCUAUCUUCUCCAAGCCCCAACCAUGAAAGAAACUUCCAAAUUAGCAGAUAUCGCUGAGAACCUAAGUUGUUCCAGGCACUGAUAGAGAGGUGUGAGUAGCAUGGUAUAAAAAGUCAUGAACGAAUUCACAUGAGGCAGUAGAAGAUGCACGUCUUCUCAUGGGAGAACUUCUAGAGGACUAAAGGUGAGGUUACUGGCCUCUUUUAUUCUUUUCAUGAUGCCCACCCAUUCCUGUGAAUGACUCCUGUAGCAUCACUAAAAUGUCAUCUCCAGCUUGUUCUCCAGGAAGAAUGAACGUGUGGAAGCUGGCAUUUGAUUUCUUCCUGCUGGCUACUGACCUUAGAGAGACAGCAUGGACAGUGUGGAUACUCACUCUAACAUCAGGCAUGCUAUCAGAAAAGAGACAGAUAUGGAGGUUCUUGUACCAACAAGACUGUAUACUAUAUACUAGACAUUCUGGUGACCUGGCACAAGGGUAACCAGUACACCACCACAGUCCCCGUUUGAAAGAAUGUGCUGGUGGUUUCUGAUGUUACAAAGAAAGGGUAUUUCAAUUUUUUUCCCGUUGGCUUGCAAUUUUUUUUAAGAUUUUAUUUAUUUAUUCAUGAGAGAUUCAGAGAAAGAGGCAGAGACACAGGCAGAGGGAGAAGCAGGGAGCUUGAUGUGGGAUUUGAUCCCGGGACUCCGCUAUCACACCCUGUGCCAAAGGCAGACACUCAACCAUUGAGCCACCCAAGUGUCCCUUGCAAUGGGUUUUACUUUUGAAAUAGUACUCAUCCUUGUGGUUAGAUUUCUAGGCAGCCCACAAAAGCUUCAAGUCCUAGCAUUAGAGCUUAUGUUAUAAUUUAGAUAUUGAAAGGGUUAGAUAAUUUUAUAGGCUCAUCUGAGCAUAAAACUAGAAUUAGUAAUUUCAUUUCUGGUGAAAACUGUGCAUUUGAGGAGAUAUGGGGGUCCCAAAGACUUAAAUACCUUUGCUUUAUUUUUUGACUCUUCAGACAUUCCACAAAGGUAGUUGGUAGCUACCUAACCACAUAUACCUGUUCUUUGUGGUGGUAGGGGGGAGUGAUUUAGGAAUUUUUUUCUCUUUGAAGACCAAGUCAAUUAUUGUGUAUUUUUGGUGUCUUUUUUAAAAGAUUUUAUUUAUUUACUCAUGAGAGACACACAGAGAAAGAGAGGCAGAGACACAGACAGAGGGAGAAGCAGGCUCCACGCAGGUAACCUGACGUGGGACUCAAUCCCGGGACUCCAGGAUCAUGCCGUGAGCCGAAGGCAGAUGCUCAACCACUGAGCUACCCAGGGAUCCUCUAUUUUUGCAGUCUUUAAAAGCUUCAUUUUGGUUAGUGGGACUGCUUAAAGGAUAUAUUCAACUAACAGGCUGUACAUUUUAUAAGAAACUUUAACAGUCAUUAAUUUGGGACACGAGCUCAUCACUGAGCAUAGGGAUGGGCAAACUAUGUUCCCUGUGACAAAUUUGGUUUUCUACUUGCUCUUCAAAGUAAAAUUUUAUUGGAACACAAUCUCGUUCAUCUGUUUUUACACAUCAUCUAUAGCUGUUUUUGCACCAGCAGAGUUGAAUAGCUCUAACAGUGACCGUAGGUCCUACUGCACCUAAAAUACUUCCUAUCUGGACCUUUACAAGAAAAGCUUGCUAACCGAUGACCUAGAUCAUGGGGAAGAAACGUUUAUCCAUCCCUUUCAUAUUCGUCUAUGUUGUUUUGAAAUUUUUUUGCCAUGUGUAUGUAUUCCUUUUGUAAUAAAACUAUUAAAACAUCUUGGAUGACUGUGCUA